UACGGAGGGGGCGAGCGUUAUUCGGAAUUAUUGGGCGUAAAGGGCGCGUAGGCGGCGCGAUAAGUCAAAGGUGAAAUCCCUCGGCUCAACUGAGGAACUGCCUUUGAAACUGUCGAGCUUGAGGCCGGGAGGGGGUAGCGGAAUUCCCAGUGUAGCGGUGAAAUGCGUAGAUAUUGGGAGGAACACCAGUGGCGAAGGCGGCUACCUGGACCGGUUCUGACGCUGAUGCGCGAAAGCGUGGGUAGCAAACAGG
rnacentral:rRNA from 1 species